UUACGUCCAUAUGACGUUGUAACACCGGUUCACAUCCGAUCAUCAAAGUUAAGCAAGGUUGAACCUGGUCAGUACCUAGAUGUGUGACCGCUCUGGAAUACCAGAUGAUGU